CACCUCGUGAAGCAAAAUGGCCUUUUACAAAUGCCGUCGCAGUUUGCGAGUGAUAUUUGUUGAAAUCAUAGAAUCGUUGGUAAUUUUCAAAAGAUUAUUUGCUUCUGAUUUUAAUUUUAUUCUGAAAGGAGUUUUGUAGCACAGGCUCUCCUCUCUCCAAUUGUGGAGUCCUGUUGCAGCAUGUUUUUCAGUGCUCAGUCCAGAGCGAAGCAUCUAAUAUACCUCAGUUGGUUCUUACCAGGAUUCCAAGAAGCAUUGCCAUGGUGAUAGGAGGAGUGGAUCCAGUCUUUAGUAUCACAUCUGUGAAAUAUGUCAAGUGUUAUUCCUAGUUAGUGAUCGACUAAUACACUGUACUCAGGAGAAACUGAAGGAUGAGUAAAGGACACCAAUAAGAUAAACAAAACACAAGCAAUAAACCUGAGGCCAGCUCUAAAGAAGUUUUGCCAUGGAAGCAUAGAUGCUAUAAAUAUCUGUGUUAUUUGUUGGAUAAGUGAUGAUGCAAAAAUAGAAAAAAAAAGCACUUCUAAAUUUCAUGUAAAUUUCAAAUGGUGAUUUGUGUAAUUAACUGACUACAUUAGGUGUCACACAUGAAAGAUUUUUGUACAAACUGUUCUGUAUACUAGUAACGAUAACAUUUUGUGUAAUCAGUAAGGUACAUCUAGCUUUGAGGAAUCCGCACUAGCAGUACUGUUGUAUCAAGUAAGUUGAAACUUAUAUUUCUGUAAUUACUUUAAAAGUAAUUGAGAUAGUAUGCCUUUUCAGGUGAGAACAUUUCAAGCACAAAAAAUGGUACAAAUGGUCGUAAAAGUUAUUAAUGAUGAAGAGUUGUUCCAUAAGGUUAUGGAUCAAGACCUCAUAUCAUAAAAAUUCUCUCUCUCUCACUCCUUGUGUAUUUGCAUUGAAUUAAAAAUAUGUUUACUAAAUUGUCACAGAUUGUGGCAAAUAGUAUGUAAUAAUGUGAACGUAUUAGGUUUAAUUAUGAAACUGCUUAUAAUCCAUUUGAUACAAUUAUAGUUUUAAGUGUAUGAUAAUUUAAAAAGGGUGUUACAAAGCACACUUGCCCAUCUUAGGUGCCAUUUACACAUAAAAGUUAUUGUCAUGACUCAAAAUUGCUCUGUAACAUAAUGGCAUUUACUAAUAGUUAAGCAAUAAAAAAUUUUAAUUUUUUUCUACAUUUUAAUUAUUUUUCAAAAGAACAUCAACCAUUAUGGACACAGGAUAGUAAAAUCAAGUAUAUUUAAAUGUCUCGGCAUUAUAAAAAAUGUAUAGGUUCUCAGUUUUAUUUUGUUUUAUUUAUGUAUUAUUACAAAAAGUUCAGCACUACCCCUGUUUAUUGAAAAUCUUAAAAAAAGAAAUGUACACUUGUGUGUGACUGUUUACUACCAUACAGAAAACCACGACAUUGGUUUUAUAUAUAAAACCAUUUUUUAACGGGAAAAUGCAACAAGCUUGCAAAAUAAGCACUUUUGAAAAUAGUGCUCAAACAAACUGAAUAAAAUUGUUCUUUGUAGCCAUGUAGCAUUCCAGCCUUGUAAUUUGCUGGGUUUAUAUAUUAUUGUGUAAUAUAUUAUUUUUUUCUAUAUUUAUUGUUUUUUGUAAUGUAUAGAGUUAUGUGAUUUUCCAUCACGUGAUGAAAAAACAUCAUGGGUAAAAACACUUAACAUGAAAUCCCAUAUCUAGAAUUCAAGUUAUCAAACCAUUGCUAUCACAUAAUUACAAUAUUCACUUAAAUUUUUUUUAAGCACAUUUGAUACAACACAGAAAACCACAGUUGGGGUUUAUCCUAGGUGAUCAGGGUGCUUCAGGGAACCAUCAGAUUACUUCUUCCACUUAAUGGCAUUACAUGCUGUUUACGUACCACAUUUUUUACCUUCUAGACUUUUCUUAUCAUUAACCCUCAUAGUUUAGACACCUUUAUGUUUGUUUUGUUACUCCCUCUCCAUCUCAAUAGAAUUUGUUUUUGUCACACCAUAUCCCAUUAUCACUUAAGCUUCUGGGAUGACAAAAAUAAUAAGCAGUCAAUUUCUUUUUGUAGAAAUCUCUACUGACUAACAGUUCCAAAAUGAGGUAAAUGUAACUGCUCCUUCGCUAUAUAUUUAUUGUCCAUGUAAAUCAAAUACAACAUUACAUAAUGGAAAGAUAAAACAUUUGAGGGAAAAAAAUGAAACAGUUUGGGUUUAAUAAAGAAAAAUUGGCUAUAUCAUACAGUUAGAACAAAAAAUAUUUUUUCCUUCAUGGGAUUUUAAUUUUGCUUCACCAAUGUGUUUGAUUUUUCUGACAGAUAUUAUCUCACUAGUCCCCCAGUGGGACAGCAGUGAGUUUAUGAACUCACCAUGCUAAAAUCCGGGGUUUGAUUCCCCAUGGUAGACACAGCCGAAUGUGGCUUUCCUCUACAACAAACAAAACUUCAGUGGAAUUUCUUUCUAAGCUGUCUAACAAAUUAUAUCUGUUACUUUGUCAGCUAAUGUACCAUAUAAAAUAUCAUAUUGGUCUUUUACACCAUCAACAAGCCAUUCAGUUUCUUAGGUAGAAAUAUUACACAUAAGUUGCAUUUUAGGUUGAUUCCAUGGUAGAUUGUCAAUAUCUGAUGUUUUGGUAGCUUUAUACGUUUUUACAGUAGAAUGUCUACAGAAAUACAAAGAAUGUGACUAGUAAAGACAGCUGUUAACAGCUUAUAAUGUAGCUCAUGAAUAUUGUUGUGUCCCUGCCUCUUACUGUAUAGAAGCUGUUUUGCUACUGGGAUAACUUUUGAUGUUAAUUCUUUUUAUAUCUUUACAAAAUACACAACUUCAAUGCGUGUUGUUUUAUCAUAGGUUUAAACUUUCAGUAUAGGCUACUGGAAUAUGACCCUUGGACAACAUUUCUAAGCCCCCAGUGGCAAAGUGGUAUUUCUGCAGACUUACAAAACUAGAAAUGUGGUUUUGGUACCAGUGGAGGGCAGAGCACAGAUAGCCCAUUGUAUAACUUUAUGCUUAAUUACAAACAAAACAAACAUAUUUCUAAGUUUGUGAACAUUGUAUAUAACAACCAAUUUACCACCUAUUAAAAUAUAACAGAGAAAGUUCCUAGCGCUUGUCGUUAUGUUAUGCGAACAUUGUAUAUAACAACCAAUUUACCAUCUAUUAAAAUAUAACAGAGAACGUUCCUAGCACUUGUCAUUAUGUUAUGCGAACAUUGUAUAUAACAACCAUUUUACCAUCUAUUAAAAUAUAACGGAGAAAGUUCCUCGCACUUGUCAUUAUGUUAUGCAAACAUUGUAUAUAACAACCAAUUUACCAUCUAUUAAAAUAUAACAGAGAACGUUCCUAGCACUUGUCAUUAUGUUAUGUGAACAAAUCUCUUAAGUUGAGUCUGAAUUUUUUCAAAUCUAUAGACAAUCUAAGUGCUUGUCUUUUCAAAAAACCAAACAUAAGAACAACAGAAACUGAAGUUACAAUUGAUUGUAAAAUUUGAACUUAAAAUCAAAGAUGUGAAUACAGUUAAAAAUUUAGUCUGUACUUUUAUACAAAUAUGAUCUUUAGUUGCUAGCCUUGGUUUGAUAUCACACUCUUCAGGGGGCAGUGAAAAGUUAAUUAGAAGAACUGAACAAUAAAAGUGUGUUGUAUGGUUUUUAUACUUCAAGAUUGUUGUAUUAUGGGUUUAACAAAUACACAUUUUUUUCACUCAAAGUUUUAAGCUUGCCUAUAUUGAAACUACAGAUCACAUAGUUCUCACUAAUGUUUUUAAAAAUGGAAAAAUAGAUGUGGAAGAAAAUUAAACUAGAAGUGAAAAAUUGGUAAUGUGAAAAGAUGCUGUUAUUAUGGGAAUAAGCUGGAUCUGAUGUGGUCAUGGAAUUAACAGGAAUAGAUCUGUUAUGGAAAUAAUGUAAACAGAUACUUUGUUGGGGGAAUGGUUUUAUCUUGUUUUACUAUGAAACCAGACACUGGAUGUUAAAUGGGUAGGAUACAACCUGUAUUGUGUUUAUCAAAAGUUAAAUUACU